UUGGUCGUGGAGUAGAAAGGUGAUUGGUGGCGAUACUAUAACAAUAUUCUUCUUCUUUGUCGUUAUCACUCUUGACAGAGUGGUCGUGGUCAUCACUUCAGGUGUUGGUGGCAAGCUAAACAACCCGCCUUUACAAGAUAACAAUAUACCUACACACUAUAGGUACAUGUCGUAGACGUACUGCGCCAUGUGGGGCAUGUCGCGUAUACGCAGCGUCAUGGCGUCGGGCACCAGAGCACUCGCGCCGCGCUGCGCCGGCCAGCGCUCGCCAGGCACCAGCUCCAACUCCAGGGGACGCUCU
rnacentral:lncRNA from 1 species